UACGUAGGGCGCAAGCGUUGUCCGGAAUUAUUGGGCGUAAAGAGCGUGUAGGCGGCCUGGUAAGUCCGCUGUGAAAGUCCAGGGCUCAACCCUCGGAUGCCGGUGGAUACUGUCGGGCUUGAGUACGGAAGAGGCGAGUGGAAUUCCUGGUGUAGCGGUGAAAUGCGCAGAUAUCAGGAGGAACACCAAUUGCGAAGGCAGCUCGCUGGGACGUUACUGACGCUGAGACGCGAAAGCGUGGGGAGCAAACAGG
rnacentral:rRNA from 1 species